UUCAAAUGGAAUUCAAACUACAUACAGUAUUUAAUAUUUUCAAAUGGUUACAAUAGCACAUGAUUUUGGUAUUUUUAUCUUUGGGACAAAUUUUGGAUUCAAUUGGGGAUUGUUUUUGGAGGUAUUCACUUCACAUUGUAUUCAAGAUGGUUACUUCCGCCCACUGUGAAGAGUCUCGGCGUCUGAUUGGUCCAAUUUUCAGUUAGGCGCCGCCUGAUUGGCCGUUGGAUGAUGUCUGAUCCUAACAGAUGGCUAAAUCACUAGUUAAUUAUUUUCCUCAUGGAAGUUAUACAGCUCACGUAUCACACUUAAUAUUGAAUAUAUAUAAAAAGGGUUUUCCAAAAGGACCAUUUAUAAUCGAAAUACAAAACUUCACACACGAUUUUGAGCACAACAGAGUGCUCAGUGAACAGCACUUCCGGGACCUGCAUCACCGGAGGGGGACAUCUAUCUUGGCCACAAACCAUCUUUGACAGUCUUCGGCAGCAUGGUUGAAUCAGGCGCAUCAACACAUGAUAUAGACAUCGUGCCCAAAAGAAGAGCGAGACGUAAUCCUGAGGCUGAAGCUACCGAGUUUAUUUGAUCUGGAUGUGACAAGUCUUGUUUUAAGGCCCAGUGGAUCAAUGAUUGGAAAGACACCAACUGUUGAUGUUCUAUCUCAACAUUCUCCAGAUUCAUGUGACCGAUAAACCGACUUCAUCCCUCCAACAGACACCAACUGUUGGGGUUCUAUCUCAACAUUCUCCAGAUUCAGAUGUGAGCGAUAAACCGACUUCAUCCCUCCAACAGGUUAUUACAAGUCUAUUUUUACUAUAUCUGCUCUAAAUGUGACCCAACCUAUAUUUUGAAAGACAUUUAUUAAUUUUAAUCUCUCACAGAUCAGUUUAUAUGACAACAUUUUCGUAAGAGUACAUCCAUGUUAGUCAGUAAGGAGUUUGGAACUCAUGUUUAGCAAAACAGGAGAUGUUACAAGUCAACAACAUACAUUCUACAUGUGACCCCUCGUCAUGUCCUUAUAUUGUUUGAACCAAGAAAGACUUAGGUGUGUUUCAUAUAAGGUCCUCAUAUUUUCUAAACCAGAUUAGUGUGUGUUACAAUGUUAAUGUCCAAGCUUUAAAAUGUGUGUCUCAAUUCAGGUCCUCAUAUUUUCUGAACCAGAUUUUAGUGUGUUUUAUAUUCUUAAUUAAUUGUCUAAGAGCUGAAACUCUGUAAUAAUCUUUACUAUUUAUCUGGCAUUGUAUGCUCAGAGUUUUAUCCACAAAAAGUGCUGAUAAUGUUAUAAUUAAUUAGUUCUGACAUUAUAUUUUUGUGUUUUGUUGCAGAAACCAACU